rnacentral:rRNA from 1 species
GACGAACGCUGGCGGCGUGCCUAAUACAUGCAAGUAGAACGCUGAAGGAGGAGCUUGCUCUUCGGGAUGAGUUGCGAACGGGUGAGUAACGCGUAGGUAACCUGCCUGGUAGCGGGGGAUAACUAUUGGAAACGAUAGCUAAUACCGCAUAACAGUAGAUGUUGCAUGACAUUUACUUAAAAGGUGCAAUUGCAUCACUACCAGAUGGACCUGCGUUGUAUUAGCUGGUUGGUGGGGUAACGGCUCACCAAGGCGACGAUCCAUAGCCGGCCGGAAGGGGGGACCGCCCACACUGGGACUGGGACACGCCCAGAACUCCAAGGGGGGGCGCCGGUGGGGAUUUUUGGAAAUUGGGCGAAGGCUGGACCCAGCAAGCCCGCGUGUGGAAGGAGGGUCUUGGGUCUGUAAAGCCCGUUGUACCGGAAGGAAGAGCGUGGGCCUAAAACGUUCACACUGUGACGGUACCUGAACAGAAAGGGCCGGCUAACUACGUG